rnacentral:rRNA from 1 species
GCGGCAAAGCUCAAAUUUGAAAUCUGGCACUUUCAGUGUCCGAGUUGUAAUUUGAAGAAGGUAUCUUUGGGUCUGGCUCUUGUCUAUGUUUCUUGGAACAGAACGUCACAGAGGGUGAGAAUCCCGUGCGAUGAGAUGACCCAGACCUAUGUAAAGUUCCUUCGAAGAGUCGAGUUGUUUGGGAAUGCAGCUCUAAGUGGGUGGUAAAUUCCAUCUAAAGCUAAAUAUUGGCGAGAGACCGAUAGCGAACAAGUACAGUGAUGGAAAGAUGAAAAGAACUUUGAAAAGAGAGUGAAAAAGUACGUGAAAUUGUUGAAAGGGAAGGGCUUGAGAUCAGACUUGGUAUUUUGUAUGUUACUCUCUCGGGGGUGGCCUCUACAGUUUACCGGGCCAGCAUCAGUUUGGGCGGUAGGACAAUUGCAAAGAAAUGUGGCACUGCCUCGGUAGUGUGUUAUAGUCUUUGUCGAUACUGCCAGCCUAGACUGAGGACUGCGGCUUCGGCCUAGGAUGUUGGCAUAAUGAUCUUAAGUCGCCCGUCUUGAACCACGGA